CUCGGCGUCCAAAGUGAUAUCAUCUCUGAGGAGACCGAGGAUGGUUGCCUCGUAUAUGUGUUCAGUAGACUCUAUAAUACAAUAAUUCUGGCUGAAGCAACUGGUGACUUCCAUGAUAUCUUUUGUGUCGGUUGUUCCAACGACAUCGGCAUUUAUGGCGUAAGUGAUCCAAAUAGUUUCAGGGUUUUGAGGAGCGAACUCCAUGGACCGGAAGGAAGCGAUGAUGAGGUUUAGGAGUUGGUAUGUGCUAAAAAAAAAAGACUAUUUGAUGUAGAAGUAUAUAUGCUUUUGAAUUUCAUAUUACUUUGUAUAGUGUGUGAAUAGUCUCAAGAACAAAUGACAUAUUCUUCCUUUUGGGAUUUGAUGACAUUUGAAAGUUAUUACUUUUACACUUCUUCCAUGUGUACCAUGAAAUUAGCUAUCACUGGUGACAUGUGAACUGAGUCAUCUAUUUGACUUUGUUUUGUGUUAUUAUUUUGUCUGGCACAUUCUGUUUUCUUUUUCUUCUGAGAUCGUCAGGUUCAUUGAUAGCAAAGGAGGAGAAUGAGACUGAAUAUAUAGAGGUAUAGUUUAUUAGUUAAUUGUUACCAAUUUCCAGUGUUUCUAUUUGAGAUUUUCAACAAUUUGAAAGUGUAUCAACUAUAGUAUACCGGUUUUAUAAAUGAAUAUGGACACAUACACAUUAACAAAUACACUCAUACCACAACAAUCUGACAAUCAUACACCAGCGGGGUUUUUUGGUUUUGCGGCCUGUGUUUUAUUGUAAUUUAAGAUGUGACGACAAAUGUUAAGAACACAUACACAUCUGUUACUAUUGCUUCACACACGUACAAGAUCAACUUGACUAUUUUAAAUGUUCAAAACAAAAAUAAUAUCAGCCAAGAAAAAUAUGCAUUUGUUUAUUACGGAAAACAGAGUUUGACCGCUGAUGGAUCUCGAAAUCUAACUUAAAAAACAGGAUUAGGGUUUAUGUUAAUAAAUGUCUAAUAAAUCAUGUGUACCCUGAAAUUAGCUAUCACUAAUGACAUGUGAACUGAGUCAUCUAUUUGACUUUGUUUCGUGUUAUUAUUCUUGUCUGGCACAUUCUAUUUUCUUUUUCUUCUGAGAUCGUCAGGUUUCAUUGAUAGCAAAGGAGGAGAAUGAGACUGAAUAAAUAGAGGCGUCUAGUUUAUUAGUUGUUGUUACCAAUAUUUAGUGUUUCUUGUAAGAUUUUCAACAAUUUGAAAGUGUAUGAACUAUACUGUACCAGGUGUCUAAUGGUGAAUUUAUCUUCUUCACCUUUUACUAAAAAGCCAAGAAAAAAAAGUAGAAAGUAAAACGAAUUGGCUUUUUACAUUUGAUCUCACUUUGAAAGAGAUGAGUGAUAAAGAAUUAAAUUGUACAGCCUAAUUGAUAAGUUGGAUAUUACAUAAACUGGCGCAAUGCCCACCUAAAGGCCGAAACCUUGACUUAGUCUUAAACUCUUAACUACUUUUUAUCCUCCCUCGAAAAUACCUUAAUACUUUAUUAACCUCAAUUUGGAUCCAAUUGAUCUCAAACAAGUUACUUCCGUCAUAAACUGAACUAGAGUUUAUCCCGCACAUCGUGCGGGUAUAUUUUCAUUUUAUAAAUAUAUAAUUUUGAUAUUAUUAUAUAAAUUUAAAUAUACAAUUUAUAUCUUAGUGUUAUGUAUUUUAUAACUUUUUAAUUUUAUUGUUUAGGUUUCUUAUUACUUUAUUAAUGUAGGGGUUUGUUUUAUACAUUUUACC